AAACAGAUAGGUUUGGUCCUGCCCUUUUUAUUAGUUAUUUGUAAGAUUACACAUGCAAGCAUCCCUACCCCAGUGAAAACGCCCUCUAGAUCACCCGGAUCAAAAGGAGCAGGUAUCAAGCACGCACACACAAAUGCAGCUCAAAACACUUGGCUCAACCACACCCCCACAGGAAACAGUAGUGUUAAAUCUAGUAAUAAACAGAAGUUUAACUAAGCUAUACUAAUAUUUAGGGUUGAUUAAUUUCGUGCCAGCCACUGUGGCCAUAGAGUUAACCCAAGCUAAUAGAACUUGGCGUAAAGAGUGUUUAAGGUCUGCCCUCAAUAAAGCUAAACUCCAUCUAAGUUGUAAAAAACUCCAGUUGAAAUAAAAUAUACUACAAAAGUAGCUUUAAUACCCUGAAGACACAGCAGCUAAGACAAGAACUGGGAUUAGACACCCCACUAUGCUUAGCUCUAAACCCUAAUAGUUACAUUAACAAAACCAUUCGCCAUAGUAGUACAAGCAACAGCUUAAAACUCAAAGGAUUUGGCAGUGCUUUAUAUCCCUCCAGAGAAGCCUGUUCUAUAAUUGAUAAACCCCGAUACACCUCACCAUCUCUUGCCCCCGGCCUAUAUGCUGCCAUCUGCAGCACACCCUAAAAAAGGUUAUAGAGUAAGCACAAGUACACACAUAAAAACGUUGGGUCAAGGUGUAGCCCAUGAGGUGGCAAGAAAUAGGCAACAUUUUCUAUGUCCAGAAAAUCUCACGACAGCCUUUAUGAAAUCUAAGGGCUUAAAGAGGAUUGAGCAGUAAACCAAGAGCAGUGUUUGAUCGAAUAAGGCCAUGAAGCACGCACACAAAACCCAUUAUCCUCCUCAAAUACUACUCUAGAAAUCACUAUUACUGUUAAUUUUCUACACAGGUAUAGAGGAGAUAAGUUGUAACAUGGUAAGCAUACUGGAAAGUGCGCUUGGACAAGCCAAAGU
rnacentral:ncRNA from 1 species